rnacentral:lncRNA from 1 species
GGGGCGAAUUUAAAGGAUCAUUCGAUGUUUUCUGCCAACAAAUUCUGAACGAAACCUCCUCCCCUUACUUCCUAGUUAGUGCAGAAACUGAGAGUUACUUAAAAGAACCAGAGAUCAAAGAGAAAUCUGAUCCGGAACAUGGCUCAUAGCCGGCCUUUGGUCAGAAAAAUUGCAGCUUUAUCACUUCUGUUCCAAUUUUGUUCGUAGCCUUCUUCUCCUCCGUCCAUUGCUCAUUUCCUCCUUGCUUAUCACGGUUCCUUCCCCAAGCUCUUCCUCUCUCUGCUUUCCUUCUUCCUUCUUCCAGAACCCACGCCGUCAAUCUCUUUCUUUCUACAUCUAUUUGCUUCAGCCGCCACCUUGCCCUUUCUUUUCUUUUUCCUCUCAAAGCUCCUCCUCUCCGUUUUUCUGGUUUCUUUCCUUAGCCCACCGAAGCCUCAGCUCUCCCCUUGCUCUCCCCUCUGUCCAGUUUUGCUCCCGUUUUUUCUUUCCGCUCCCGUUAACUGCAAAACUCUCCCCACCAUGAAGCUCUCUUUGCGGCUGAUGUCUUCUUUCCUUUUUGUACCAUCUCCCAAUCCCCUAAACCUGCUCUCAAUGGCCAGCAAUCAACCUCCUCUCAGCCCCUUAUCUUAGCCAUCCGAUGGGCAUUGAGGUUGUGCCUCGCACGCUGCAAAAAAAAAAAAUGCAGCGUGCAUGCUGCGCUAAUCUCUCUUUUUUUUUUUUUUUUUAAUAAAAAGAAUGCAUAUAAAUGAUAAUAAUAAUAAUAACAAAAUGACAGAACCAUGCAAUAAUAAUAAGAACGAAA